GACGAACGCUGGCGGCGUGCCUAAUACAUGCAAGUCGAACGCAGUGGGGACGGUUGAUUAACACGUGGGUAACCUCCCAUCAGAGGGGAUAACCCUUGGAAACAGGUGCUAAACAGAUAUUGAUGGCUGGACCCGCGGGGCAUUAGCCAGUUGGUGAGGUAACGGCGCACCAAGGCCACGAGUCAUAGCCGAGCUGAGAGGGUGAUCGGCAACACGGGGACUGAGACACGGCCCAGACUCCUACGGGAGGCAGCAGUAGGGAAUCUUCGGCAAUGGACGAAAGUCUUACCGAGCAACGCCGCGUGAGUGAAGAAGGUUUUCGGAUCGUAAAACUCUGUUGUUAGAGAAGCGGUAUCUAACCAGAAAGCCACGGCUAACUACGUGCCAGCCGCCGCGGUAAUUC
rnacentral:rRNA from 1 species